AUUAAGAUGUCCGUGGU
rnacentral:misc_RNA from 1 species